AAGGAUCCGCCUCUUUCCUCCUUUCUCAGCCCGGGUUCCACCCCGGGAGGCCCGCUGUAUGAGAUGGAGGGCGGGCUAAAGGCGGGACGAGACUCGAUUGAGCGCAAUUAUGACCAAUCACCUUGCGGAAUAUUGGCCUAUAGCGAAGGAGGAGCUCAGAACAAAAAGGAGACCCCACCCCCGCCGACGUCCCGUUUGCCACCAUGGGGAUGUACCAAGUGAGACGGAGUAGGGGGAGCGAGUGGUGAUUGACGCGCCAGGUUACUGGCCACUGCUCACCUAGGCGCUAGCAAACUUCUGCCAAGAUCGGAACUGAGUACUAAACAGCCUCCACAGUUCUCCCUGGUGCCGUCUCCGGCUUGGCGCCGCAUCCUCCUCUGGGCUCGCGAUGGCCGCGUCCCCUCCCGCUGCGGACGGGUCCUUUGGUACAUGCAGUCCGAGUCACUAUUCCAGGUCCUCAGGAUAUAGCCGUGACCUAAACACAGAAAUCUACCCUGGCGGAGCUGAUCUUCUAGUUGUGGCGGUGAGGAGAUAGACAGUAAAGACUAAAGAAACCAAUAA
rnacentral:sRNA from 1 species